rnacentral:lncRNA from 1 species
GAGCCUCCUCCUCCCCUGCGCCCAACCCUAGAGUGGGGAGCGCCUGCUCCCCAGGACAGCCGCCGCCGCCGCCUGAUGCUGCGCCCGCGCCUGCCCUCUCUCCUCGGCGUUCGUGCCGAUGCGCGCCGCGUGUCCUGCUCGCGGCACGGACGUCGGAGAUGGCCGCUUCCGCCCCGAAGCCCUAGCGCCCGCGCUAUAAGAACCGAGCCGCCAGCCGCCGCCCUUCUCCCCCGCGCAACCGCCGCUCUGCUUGCGCGCGCCCCUGCACCCUCAGCGCCGCGACACGCACACGCCCGAGCCCCGUGCGCGCCUGCCCUCUCUCCUCGGCGCGCGCCCGCAUCCACUGGCCUCGCCCUGAUGCUGCCCGCCGAGCCGCCGCCGCGACGCACCCGCGCGCCCGAGCACCCCGACGCGUCCACGCCCUCGCCGAGCAGCAGCAGAGCCGCGGCCACGGCCUCGCCCUCGGUGCCCUGCGACGCCGAGCACCGCCGCGCCGAGCUCCGUCCGGCGUCCACGGCCCCGACCUCGCCAGGAGCCGCUGACCCCCUCUUCGUCGAGCACCUGACCGCUGUGGCCGCGACACGCCUCGUCCUCGACCCCGCCGCGCCGAGCUUCGACUGCGACCUUGCCCAGGAGCCCGCGGCGUCCCCAUCCUCGCCCGCGAGCUCUCCCCCGAGCCCCGUCUUCGGCCAGCACCGCGAGCACGGCGCCCCUCCGCGUCCGCGUCCUCGACCUCGCCACGACCUCGACGCCGAGCAGGAGCUCCGCACCCCCGCCGGAGCACGACGCCACGACCACGACCGUGCCGCGCCAAGCACUGCGACCCCGACCCCGACGCAGUUCUGCGCCACCCCGCGACGUCACCCACACCCUCACCACCAGCACCGGCCUCGCCCCCAAGCCUAGGGCCGCGCGCGACGCCGGCUCCGGUCACGGCCGACCUGAAGCCCGCGGCGUCCACGUCCGCGCUCAGGAGCCGCGACCACCGAGCGCGACGUCGGGCCCGACGCGUCCCCGUCCUCGCCACGGUCACCGCGUCAAGCUCUCGUCCCUGUCUUCGCCAAGCCAAACCCCCGGUGAGCUCGCCAAGACCAAAGUUUUCCCCUUCCUGCGUUCACCAAGCUGAGACCGGCCUUCGCGCCACAUUUCAUCCAUUGUCGCAGGGAAGCUUUGGUCCUGUGGUGCUUUUGCCAAAGAUGUGAUGCCUUCUCGCUGCCAGCCGCGCCUCCAGCCGAGCCGCAGCGAGCAGAAGCCAGCCAAGAGCAACAGCAAGCCCGUAGUAGAUCUUCGUCCAAACAGCAAGGUCGAACCUUGAACCUAGCCGACAUCGUCUCCGACGUUGGCAAAACCCUUGCCGUUCAUUUCGAUAUCAUACAUGCCAUGUAUCUUGCUCAUGUAUGCAUUAUGAUCUAUCUGCAUGACCAUUUGUUCAUCUAUCCAUGUCAUGCAUUUGUUACAUGAUUAUUCAUCUCAUAUCUCGUUUAAUGCGGGACCUAUCUUCGUCUAUAUCUCUGCCUGUGCCGUGCCUUCGUGCCGGUCUAUUUAUCUAUCUCUAUCUCUUUUGGUCGCUAUGGAAAUGUGCUACUCCGAGUCGUCGUCUUGUUAGUAUUGCAAUUUGUGCUUUUGUUCUUGUCGUUGUGGACCGUGCCGUCGAGCCGGUUGAGAGAGUGACGUGUUUGGAUGUUGCGAUCGCGAGUUCGUCUCGCCACGGCCGUAAUGCCGAGCAUGUCCCUUCUCUCGUAUUUCUGUUGUUCCUUCUUUUGUUAUUUGCAUGCCUGAGGACCGAGCCUUCGAGCCGGUUAGGGAAAAUGGUGGAGCGUUCGAUCAUUUCGAUCGUGGGUUCGUCCCGCCGUGAUCGCGAUGCCGAGCGUAACUCAUUCCCUGUGAUUAGUUGACUUCGCUGCGCUACGGUCGUUAGCUCCUAUUCCCGUCCCUCGAACGUGGUCAUCGUGGACUCGAUGUCGUUAACGACGCGGUUCUUACCCGCACACUCGAGACCUAAAUGACCUAGUCUAGUGGGAUACGAAUUAGGGGACAACCUUCGUAGAACUAUCGGAGAAACUCGUUAGGUGAAGCUCAUGGCCGCGAGUCCACCUUGCCAUGGCCAUUGGGCUUUACCCCAUUUCUCCCGUGUUUAUCCUAACCACCUCGUAUGCUUGUACCACUUCGACUAUAGCAUUCCCUCGGACCUAGCGGUGACAACCACAUCGCUAUGGGCCUUAGGAAUAGCCUUGUGCUGAUUUAGAUGCACAGUCAUGGUGCCCUACGAGUGGGUUGGGAUCGUGGGGUCGUAUUCCUUUUAUCCAACCGUCGUUGUUCCAUGAUGAGUUGGUCGAAAGAGUAUGGACUCCAUUCUUCUUCUCUCUUGUUCUCAAUCCCGUCGAUCCAGUAAGAUGGGGAUUAAGCCCCUUUUGCUUGUUUGAUGUUUUGUUUCCAAUCCCGCGAUUCCCGCCGUUGCUAUGGCGAGCGGAUCAAAGGAAGGUGAAUCCCGUGUCUUUUCCCGCCUUUUUGGUUCUUCGUGCUUAAACUCUUGUAUGCUUGUACCUAUAUCGAUCGUAGCAUUUCUUUGGUUCUUGUGGUGACAACCGCACCGCAAAGAACCUUAGUGAUGUCAUAGUGCAUUUAGUGCACCUAGGUUGUGGUACCCUACAAGUGGUUUGAGUACUCGUGUUCCUUAUGUGUCACUCUUUCUAAUCCCCCGUCUCUUACCAUGGCGAGUGGAUGGGAAGAAGUAGACCACUCCCCUUUUCUUCUCUCCUUGUUCCACCCUCUCUUGGCUCUCGCCAACUACAAUGGCGUAUGGAUUGAGAGAGACCGGAACUUCGCGUGCUCAUAGUCUUUUCGAUUCCUGUCGAUCUCCGUGACGCUUGGAUCGAAGAGCCACUAGCUAUGGUGUUUGCUUAUGAUAAGUUAGGGUCUAAGCCAAUUAUUAAAGUCGUACAGGUUGACUUAGUCGACCCAGGAAGUACCGGCUAGGCUAAGACUCCAGCUUGUACUUAGUGAACAACCAUUCCCAUUUCUUUUAGCCCAAAGAUCGGACAUCCGCCGAGAGGGCUAAGCCGUUUUCCUUUCGUUGCUCUUUUAGUGUAGUUGUUCCUCAGUGUUAUGUCGUCUCUUUUUGUAGUCUUUCGAGGUCUAGUGGUUUGAUUGUUUUGCCUUGUUUGUCGCUUUCGAGGUAGUCGCUUCGAGGUUAGCGUUGAUCGGACCAGGACCAGUUGAAGGAAGAACAUGCGGAAAGGAGGAUCUUGGAUGAGUACAACUACAAGUGAACUGAGGAUCUUGGAAAUGUCACUCGACAGGUGCCACGUCCCACCCAACCUCGUAGAAUCCUAUUAGACAUGCAAUAUUACAGAUGCUAGUGCUUUACUUUUAUGCAAAUGAACUGUGAUAGGUUGCAUGGUAGAAAUGCUUGUGAGCCAUUGCCUUGUUGCAACCUAUAACCCUCGCACACCCGCUGUUAGGUUAGAUGCUUGCAUACUACUUGCUACUGCUUCUACUUCGCAUUAUAUCUGUGAUGUGAUGCAAUGUGGGAGAUUGGAUGUGAGUGGAUAAGGCACGUGGUGCCAAUAAAUGGAUAAAGAAAUGGAUAAUGGAUUUGGGGAGAUCUUGGCGUGUGUCUUGGGUGUGUGGUGAGGGUCGAGUCGACCGAACAGGAUCUACGACGAGUCUUGGGACAAGUCUUGCCGGAGGACGCUACCUGGGCGUUCUCCAUGAGAGUUACCUGUGGCGGGUACAUGUGACAGGGAGAGGUCCCGGAGUGGAGUGUCUUCGUGGGACGAAGCGCCGGGAUGGGAGGUGCUGUUUAGCACGGGGUAGCCGGAUGUCCUGUCGAGCGGGGCAUCGGUUGGCCCCUCGUGAAGAUGUCCUGUUUGGUCACCCUAAGGACUGAGAUGUUCUGUGGACCGGGUCUUAGGAAGCCUUACACGCCACUCGCCUUAUUAUGGUGCGGGACGGAUGUACGACCAGCUAGUGCGGUGCCACUACUACUAGGUUGUUAGCGGAUAGUGUAGGGAGGUACGGGCAUGAGGACCCACACCCUCCUAAGACAGCGUAGUGACCUUUGGGGCCCGGUACUACGCCUCACAGUCUCAGCAUGCCGGUGGUACUCCGGUAUGGUCCCAGUUCUGAGUGGUAGGGUGGCAUCGUAUUUAGUUGGGAGGCAGCUCGGAAUCAGCCUAGACGGGGGCCACCGUCGAUGAUGGUGAUCUUGUGGUUAGUGUAAACCUCUACAGAGUUUGGUUGAUCGAUCGAUACAUAUGCCGAUUCGUCGGCUAUGGACCUUUCCUAAGUACAGCUUCACUUGACUAGAGAGAGAGGAGUCCUUUCUACCUUCCCCUGGGUUUGUGUUGGAUCCGGCGUUGGCCGUUGAGGCAAGGCACGAGCGGGAGUCGUACUUGCCGCCUAGAGAGUGAGAGUGUGGUGAGAUGUGUGUGAUGGAUGGAUGGAUGUGUGGUUGAGAUGGAUUAAAACCUGAUGAAUUAUUAUUAUUAAAUAUUGAUGAACUUGCAUAGGGAAAACUACAGCCAUAUAUAUAUAGGCCUCUUGAUCUACCCUUUGCAUUCCACUUACCACAAAGCUACGCAAAAGCAUAGGGUGGGAGCCAGUGGCCAGUACAAAUCGUACUGAAAAUUGUUCGGCAGGUUUUGAACGUGGUCUAUGGCGAUAACUAUGGAGAAUAGAAGGAUUAGGUGGUCUCGUUCCUGCGCUCAAGUUUGGUUCGGAGAUGAAGGCUACGCCCGCUGAUAAACUACGCCGACUCUGAUGAUUGCCCGUGAAGGAGGAGACUUCACCGAUGACGCGCUAUAUCGACUCUGAUAAAGACCCGUGUGUGUUUUCGCUAGAAAAACGAUGUAAUAGGCUUGUCGACCAAGUGUUGUAAAGCAAAUGUGUUGUAAUCUUGUUUCUCACGAUGUAUGACUACGAUAACAGCUGAUAUAUGAUAAUGCGAUGGUUCAAAUUUUUGAAUUAUCACAUUAUAAUUCGAAUCUGUGGAUUUUUCGCUUUGUGGAAAAAUCUAGGUCGUUUCAGUUGGUAUCAGAGCCAUACUUGACCCUAGGACGAGACCCUUAGUACCAAACACUAGUUUAGAAGCCAAACAUUCUAUCUUUUGUAGAGUUAUAGAUGCUAACACUUGUUUUCCCCCUCCGCCUUGAAUUCUGCUGCUAACUGACCUCCCUGUUUCAUAAAGUUGACCGUUGUAAUCUUUUCCUAUACCCGCCCACGCUAGAUCGAUAGUCGUGUGAGACUUUGAAGGUCUGUGAGUCGCCUCAAGUCAACACUAUGCAUUAGGAGUUGUAAUGCUGUUUGAGUGCUUGGAUCUUAUGUUGUUGUGUUUCUUCGGCUUCUUGUUGUCUAAGUGUAGGUCAUAGAACCUGUUUUAUGCGAGAAAGACUCUGGAUCCCGUCCAACCUAGUCGGCUAAACCUAAGACCGUCCGAGACUAGAUAGGUGAUCCUGGCUAACAGAGCUGAAAAAGGGUAUAAAGCUGCUGCAUUAUGUCUUGCCCAUCUAUUUCAAAGCUGUUUUUGGCUUCCAACUAAACUUGUCUUCAAAAUUGCCCCUUAGGUUGAAAAAAAAAUUUCUCUCCUUUUUGGUUAAAAUAUUUCCCCUUUUUAACAAAAGCAUCUCUACUUCAAAUGGAAAAGUGUUUCAAAACUCUCUCGAUAUCUUCCCUUUUUACAAAUAAAGCAAUUUUAACUCCUUUCUCAACUUAAUUUUAUUCAAAAGCUAUUUAUGAAAUGAUUUAAAAAAAAGUCACCUUGAAAAAGGUAUGACAAACCAUCUUCUGAAAAACAAAAGUCUUGCUUUUUCAUGUUUCCAAACCAAAGACUUUGGCUUACUUUUGUUUUAAAGGUCUUUGAUUUUAUCUCAAGAGCCAAAUUCCUUUUUAAAAAAAAAAUCAAACUUGUCUUAAAAGAAAAAGGAAUUGCUAGUGAUUUAUUAAACAAAAACCAUUGCGAAAAGAUUUUUGUUUGCGGCCUUCCAAGAGUUUAGCAAAAACAAAAUGAACUUACAAGUUUUAAAAGAAAACGCUCUUGUUGUCAAGACUUUAUCUUUCAAAAUGAGAAAUGAUUUCUAGUCAUUUUCAAAACUAGUUUGUUUAAUUCAAAUAAAUAAAUUAAAAAAAGGGGCAACGCCUUGUAUUUGAAAGCUAAAAGAGUUUCAAAAUCUCUUGAUUUGAAAUCUUUUAUAACAAAAUCUUCAAACGAUUUGGUUUUCAAAACUUGCAUUGAUUUCAACCCCCUUCAAAAGCUCUCUUCAAUUUCAAGCCUCAAAAAAAACUGACUUUGUAAAAGCGCUCUCACUCUAUUUUUGAAACCUGUUUUUCCGAAAAACAUUCCUUUCAAAAGCUUUUUGCAAAAAGUGAUGCAUGAAAAACAGCUGUGAAAGCCAACAACCCUAGCAACCCUAAGCUCGCCAUACCCCUCCUUUGACCGGAUGCUAGUUCUUGGAAGAGUAUCAUGCCAGUAAACAAAGAGUUUUGAGCCAGAAGAGCUAGACAACUAACAAUAGUCUCAUCUUCAAGAGCCAGAUGUACAUAAACCAGAUGAGGUUCUUGGAUACCCAUCGCCUCGGUGUAAGAAUUUGGAUACCCAACACCCACGACUGAGCCUUGGAUACACCCAGAACAUGACUCACUCCCAUUUUGGAAAAGGUUUGUGGAGCGGUCAUACUGAAAGUGAAACAACUCAGAAGUAAGAAGAACUUCGGGAAUAGCACCCUUGCUUCUUCAUCGACCGGGCAACGCCUAAAAUCUCGGGGACGAGAUUCCUGUAAGGAGGGUGGACUGUAACAUCCCGGAUUUUUACGUAAACCAAAAAUACGAGCUUUUUAAAAUUUUUCCUGUAAUCGUGUGAAGCAUAUAGUUUUUAGAUCUAAAUCGAUCCUAACCCGCUAACAAAUCGUGGCAUACAUAUAGAUUUGUUUCUAGGUGAGUGCUUUUGUUCGUGAGUCGGUUUGGAGUUUAGUCUUGUUUAGGGUUUUGAGUUUCUUUUGGAGUGCACAAAUCCAUAGCAAAGUCUUCCUAAAUCUUUGUGGAGCCUACCUCAAAGGCGAAGCGAAUCCCUUCUCAACUUUUUGUUGGAGUACGUCUCAAACUCCAUCGGAUUUUAUCCGAUCUCCUUUUGUUUUCAUUCCUUGUGUUUAAUCAAAAAUGGAAAACCCCUUUCUUUUCCCUUGGGCCGAAUUUCUUUUCUUCUCCCAUUUGGCCCAACUCGCGCAGGAGCCUUGCCAAGCCCAGCAGCCGGCCCACCCGAAACCCCCGCGCCCCCCCUCCUGAACCACCUAGCUCAGCCUGGGCUCCCUUUCCUCCCCUCUCGCGUGGCCCACCUUGCCCUAGGCCCAUCCCGCGCACUAAGGCCUAGUCGGCUUCUCCUCCCCUCCCGCGUGGCCCACCUCGCCCCGGCCCAAGGCCCAGCCGCGAGCCUCCUCCUCCCCUGCGCCCAACCCUAGAGUGGGGAGCGCCUGCUCCCCAGGACAGCCGCCGCCGCCGCCUGAUGCUGCGCCCGCGCCUGCCCUCUCUCCUCGGCGUUCGUGCCGAUGCGCGCCGCGUGUCCUGCUCGCGGCACGGACGUCGGAGAUGGCCGCUUCCGCCCCGAAGCCCUAGCGCCCGCGCUAUAAGAACCGAGCCGCCAGCCGCCGCCCUUCUCCCCCGCGCAGCCGCCGCUCUGCUUGCGCGCGCCCCUGCACCCUCAGCGCCGCGACGCGCACACGCCCGAGCCCCGUGCGCGCCUGCCCUCUCUCCUCGGCGCGCGCCCGCAUCCACGGGCCUCGCCCUGAUGCUGCCCGCCGAGCCGCCGCCGCGACGCACCCGCGCGCCCGAGCACCCCGACGCGUCCACGCCCUCGCCGAGCAGCAGCAGAGCCGCGGCCACGGCCUCGCCCUCGGUGCCCUGCGACGCCGAGCACCGCCGCGCCGAGCUCCGUCCGGCGUCCAUGGCCCCGACCUCGCCAGGAGCCGCUGACCCCCUCUUCGUCGAGCACCUGACCGCCGUGGCCGCGACACGCCUCGUCCUCGACCCCGCCGCGCCGAGCUUCGACUGCGACCUUGCCCAGGAGCCCGCGGCGUCCCCAUCCUCGCCCGCGAGCUCUCCCUCGAGCCCCGUCUUCGGCCAGCACCGCGAGCACGGCGCCCCUCCGCGUCCGCGUCCUCGACCUCGCCACGACCUCGACGCCGAGCAGGAGCUCCGCACCCCCGCCGGAGCACGACGCCACGACCACGACCGUGCCGCGCCAAGCACUGCGACCCCGACCCCGACGCAGUUCUGCGCCACCCCGCGACGUCGCCCACGCCCUCACCACCAGCCCCGACCUCGCCCCCAAGCCCAGGGCCGCGCGCGACGCCGGCUCCGGUCACGGCCGACCUGAAGCCCGCGGCGUCCACGUCCGCGCUCAGGAGCCGCGACCACCGAGCGUGACGUCGGGCCCCGACGCGUCCCCGUCCUCGCCACGGUCACCGCGUCAAGCUCUCAUCCCUGUCUUCGCCAAGCCAAACCCCCGGUGAGCUCGCCAAGACCAAAGUUUUCCCCUUCCUGCGUUCACCAUGCUGAGACCGGCCUUCGCGCCACAUUUCAUCCACUGUCGCAGGGAAGCUUUGGUCCCGUGGUGCUUUUGCCAAAGAUGUGAUGCCUUCUCGCUGCCAGCCGCGCCACCAGCCGAGCCGCAGCGAGCAGAAGCCAGCCAAGAGCAGCAGCAAGCCCACAGUAGAUCUUCGUCCAAACAGCAAGGUCGAACCUUGAACCUAGCCGACAUCGUCUCCGACGUUGGCAAAACCCUUGCCGUUCAUUUCGAUAUCAUACAUGCCAUGUAUCUUGCUCAUGUAUGCAUUAUGAUCUAUCUGCAUGACCAUUUGUUCAUCUAUCCAUGUCAUGCACUUGUUACAUGAUUAUUCAUCUCAUAUCUCGUUUAAUGCGCGAUCUAUCUUCGUCUAUAUCUCUGCCUGUGCCGUGCCUUCGUGCCGGUCUAUUUAUCUAUCUCUAUCUCUUUUGGUCGCUAUGGAAAUGUGCUACUCCGAGUCGUCGUCUUGUUAGUGUUGCAAUUUGUGCUUUUGUUCUUGUCGUUGUGGACCGUGCCGUCGAGCCGGUUGAUAGAGUGACGUGUUUGGAUGUUGCGAUCGCGAGUUCGUCUCGCCAUGGCCGUAAUGCUGAGCAUGUCCCUUCUCUCGUAUUUCUGUUGUUCCUUCUUUUGUUAUUUGCAUGCCUGAGGACCGAGCCUUCGAGCCGGUUAGGGAAAAUGGUGGAGCGUUCGAUCAUUUCGAUCGUGGGUUCGUCCCGCCGUGAUCGCGAUGCCGAGCGUAACUCAUUCCCUGUGAUUAGUUGACUUCGUUGCGCUACGGUCGUUAGCUCCUAUUCCCGUCCCUCGAACGUGGUCAUCGUGGACUCGAUGUCGUUAACGACGCGGUUCUUACCCGCACACUCGAGACCUAAAUGACCUAGUCUAGUGGGAUACGAAUUAGGGGACAACCUUCGUAGAACUAUCGGAGAAACUCGUUAGGUGAAGCUCAUGGCCGCGAGUCCACCUUGCCAUGGCCAUUGGGCUUUACCCCAUUUCUCCCGUGUUUAUCCUAACCAACUCGUAUGCUUGUACCACUUCGACUAUAGCAUUCCCUCGGAC